rnacentral:rRNA from 1 species
UGAAUACGAGAUGCUACGGCGUCAAAGCAGUCUAUGUCAUACUUCCAAGAAAAGCUUGCACUGUCAUAAACAAAUAAUGCCUGUACCAUAACCGACACAGGUGGGUAGGUAGAGUAUACUAAGGGGCGCGAGAUAACUCUCUCUAAGGAACUCGGCAAAAUGACUCCGUAACUUCGGGAGAAGGAGUGCCUUAUUUUAUAAGGUUGCAAUAACAAGAUCCAAGCAACUGUUUACCAAAAACACAGGUCUCCGCUAAGUCGUAAGACGAUGUAUGGGGGCUGACGCCUGCCCAGUGCCAGAAGGUUAAAGAAGUUGGUUAGCAUCCGCGAAGCUGAUAACUGAAGCCCUGGUGAACGGCGGCCGUAACUAUAACGGUCCUAAGGUAGCGAAAUUCCUUGACGGGUAAGUUCCGACCCGCACGAAAGGCGUAAUGAUUUGGAUACUGUCUCAGAGAGGGGCUCGGUGAAAUAGACUUGUCUGUGAAGAUGCGGACUACCUGCACCAGGACAGAAAGACCCUAUGAAGCUUUACUGUAACUUGAAAUUGAAAUUGGACUUUACUUGCGCAGUAUAGGUGGGAGGCGUUGAGAACAUUCUUGCGGGAAUGUUGGAGCCAUCAGUGAGAUACCACUCUUGUAAUGUUAGAUUUCUAACUUUGUAUCAUUAUCUGGUCAAAGGACAGUUUCAGGCGGGCAGUUUGACUGGGGCGGUCGCCUCCCAAACGGUAACGGAGGCGCACAAAGGUUUCCUCUGAACGGGUAGAAAUCGUAUCUAGAGUGUAAAGGCAUAAGGAAGCUUGACUGUGAGACCUACAAGUCGAGCAGGGACGAAAGUCGGUCUUAGUGAUCUGACGGUGCUGAGUGGAAAGGCCGUCACUCAACGGAUAAAAGUUACUCUAAGGAUAACAGGCUGAUCUCCCCCAAGAGUUCACAUCGACGGGGAGGUUUGGCACCUCGAUGUCGGCUCAUCGCAUCCUGGGGCGGUAGUACGUCCCAAGGGUUGGGCUGUUCGCCCAUGAAAGCGGUACGCGAGCUGGGUUCAGAACGUCGUGAGACAGUUCGGUCCAUAUCCGGUGUAGGCGUUAGAAUAUUGAGAGGAGCCUUCUUUAGUACGAGAGGACCGAGAAGGACAUACCUCUGGUGUACCAGUUAUCGUGCCAACGGUAAACGCUGGGUAGCUAUGUAUGGAGUGGAUAACCGCUGAAAGCAUCUAAGUGGGAAGCCCACCUCAAGAUAAG